rnacentral:rRNA from 1 species
AGUGAACGCUGGCGGUAGGCCUAACACAUGCAAGUCGAACGGCAGCACAGUAAGAGCUUGCUCUUACGGGUGGCGAGUGGCGGACGGAUGAGGAAUACAUCGGAAUCUACUUUUUCGUGGGGGAUAACGUAGGGAAACUUACGCUAAUACCGCAUACGACCUACGGGUGAAAGCAGGGGAUCUUCGGACCUUGCGCGAUUGAAUGAGCCGAUGUCGGAUUAGCUAGUUGGGGGGGUAAAGGCCCACCAAGGCGACGAUCCGUAGCUGGUCUGAGAGGAUGACCAGCCACACUGGAACUGAGACACGGUCCAGACUCCUACGGGAGGCAGCAGUGGGGAAUAUUGGACAAUGGGCGCAAGCCUGAUCCAGCCAUACCGCGUGGGUGAAGAAGGCCUUCGGGUUGUAAAGCCCUUUUGUUGGGAAAGAAAAGCAGCAGGUUAAUACCCCGCUGUUCUGACGGUACCCAAAGAAUAAGCACCGGCUAACUUCGUG